rnacentral:rRNA from 1 species
AUUGAACGCUGGCGGAAUGCUUUACACAUGCAAGUCGAACGGUAGAGGGGGCAACCCCUUGAGAGUGGCGAACGGGUGAGUAAUAUAUCGGAACGUGCCCAGUCGUGGGGAUAACGUAGCGAAAGUUACGCUAAUACCGCAUACGAUCUAAGGAUGAAAGCGGGGGACUCGCAAGAGCCUCGCGCGAUUGGAGCGGCCGAUAUCAGAUUAGGUAGUUGGUGGGGUAAAGGCUCACCAAGCCAACGAUCUGUAGCUGGUCUGAGAGGACGACCAGCCACACUGGAACUGAGACACGGUCCAGACUCCUACGGGAGGCAGCAGUGGGGAAUUUUGGACAAUGGACGCAAGUCUGAUCCAGCCAUUCCGCGUGCAGGAUGAAGGCCCUCGGGUUGUAAACUGCUUUUGUACGGAACGAAAAGGUUUCUAUUAAUACUAGGAGCUCAUGACGGUACCGUAAGAAUAAGCACCGGCUAACUACGUGCCAGCAGCUGCGGUAAAGUG